UACGUAGGGGGCGAGCGUUGUCCGGAUUUAUUGGGCGUAAAGAGCUCGUAGGCGGUGUGUCGCGUCGGCCGUGAAAACCUGCAGCUUAACUGUGGGCUUGCGGUCGAUACGGGCAUCACUGGAGUUCGGCAGGGGAGACUGGAAUUCCUGGUGUAGCGGUGAAAUGCGCAGAUAUCAGGAGGAACACCGGUGGCGAAGGCGGUCUGCUGGGCAGUAGCUGACACUGAGGCGCGACAGCGUGGGGAGCAAACAGG
rnacentral:rRNA from 1 species